rnacentral:rRNA from 1 species
UACGUAGGGGGCAAGCGUUGUCCGGAAUCAUUGGGCGUAAAGUGCGUGUAGGCGGCUGAGUAAGUCUGCUCUGAAAGCCCGGGGCUCAACCCCGGGAGGCGGGUGGAUACUGCUCAGCUCGAGUCCGGAAGAGGAGUGUGGAAUUCCUGGUGUAGCGGUGAAAUGCGCAGAUAUCAGGAGGAACACCAAUGGCGAAGGCAGCACUCUGGGACGGUACUGACGCUGAGACGCGAAAGCGUGGGGAGCAAACAGG